UGGGCACUCUAAGGAAGACUGACCGGUGGACAAACCGGAGGAAGGUGGGGAUGACGUCAAGUCAUCAUGGCCCUUACGGCCUGGGCUACACACGUGCUACAAUGGUCGGUACAAAGGGUUGCCAAGCCGCGAGGUGGAGCUAAUACCCAUAAAACCGAUCGUAGUCCGGAUCGCAGUCUGCAACUCGACUGCGUGAAGUCGGAAUCGCUAGUAAUCGUGAAUCAGAAUGUCACGGUGAAUACGUUCCCGGGCCUU
rnacentral:rRNA from 1 species